GACGAACGCUGGCGGCGUGCUUAACACAUGCAAGUCGAACGAGACGAUUGAAAGCUUGCUUUUGAAAGUCGAGUGGCAAACGGGUGAGUAACGCGUAGACAACCUGCCUUUGAGAUGGGGACAACAGUUCGAAAGGACUGCUAAUACCGAAUGUUGUAUAUUUUCCACAUGGAAGAUAUAUUAAAGAUGGCCUCUAUUUAUAAGCUAUCGCUCAAAGAUGGGUCUGCGUCUGAUUAGCUAGUUGGUGGGGUAACGGCCUACCAAGGCGACGAUCAGUAGCCGGUCUGAGAGGAUGAACGGCCACAUUGGGACUGAGACACGGCCCAGACUCCUACGGGAGGCAGCAGUAGGGAAUCUUCCGCAAUGGGCGAAAGCCUGACGGAGCAAUGCCGCGUGAACGAUGAAGGCCUUCGGGUCGUAAAGUUCUGUUGUGGGGGAAGAAACCUAGUUGGGAUAACACUCCAGCUAGUUUGACGGUACUCCACGAGGAAGCCCCGGCUAAUUACGUGCCAGCAGCCGCCGUAA
rnacentral:rRNA from 1 species